AUUAUCACUUAGUGCCAUCAUUUCUACAGAACUGGGUAUAAAGGUAUGAAAAGUACACAAAACAUUAGGGGUACAAUCUGGACAGGAACGUGGACUUUGCUGGAUAAUAGCCUCCAGAGGACGUCGAUUCUGAUGAAUUGAUGCUGAAUUGGAUGAUGACUGAUCUCACUUGGAAUUUCUGAAACUUGCAUAUUAUAGGUCUUUGAGUCACAGCAGCAAAAAAGCUGACUAAAAUACUGCAUAUGCUAUAUACUUGUUAUGCUGUGAGUGAUCAACUCUGUCUUCAGCAACCACCCAUUAAACAGCAAUGGACUAACCCAAUAGAUUAUAAAGAAAAUCCAGAUCAGCCCAAUUGGUCCUGAAUGAUUCUGCAGUUUCUGAUGCCAUCAGUGUUGACCAACCACACACAGCCCAGCACAACAUUAUUUCAAUCUGAAUGGUGCAAAAUCAUAUGCCUCUCCUGAUGCCUGAGCAGCACUAGGAUGUACAGUGAAUGGAGACUGAGGCUGUAAUACUCAGUGACAUGGAUUUUUUUAAAGUAAACUCAUAAUUGUGAUCCAAAUCAAGUUUAACAAGUCUCAAACUGGAGUAACUGGGACCCUUUCAGGUUAUGUUUGUAUGUGGAAGAGAAUGGAUAUCCAAUGUCUUACCAAUAAGGAUGGGAGCUGCUUUUUGACCCACUGAUUGUCCUCUAUAAUAAUUGAUAAUGACACCAAGGAUCAAUGAAUUAUUUUAACCCUUAAAAAAUUUUUUUUAGUUGCAGUUGGACACAAUACCUUUAUUUUAUUUAUUAUUAUGUGAUGCUAAGGAUCGAACCCAGCACCUCACAUGUGCUAGGCAAGCACUCUAGUGCUGAGCCACAACCCCAGCCCUUUUAACCACUUUUGGGUGGGUCAUUAUGGAUGACAGACUGUUGGGGCAGGCCUCAAAAUGGCUGUAGUUAGCCUGC